rnacentral:rRNA from 1 species
GAUGAACGCUGGCGGCGUGCCUAAUACAUGCAAGUCGAGCGAACAGACGAGGAGCUUGCUCCUCUGACGUUAGCGGCGGACGGGUGAGUAACACGUGGAUAACCUACCUAUAAGACUGGGAUAAUUUCGGGAAACCGGAGCUAAUACCGGAUAAUAUAUUGAACCGCAUGGUUCAAUAGUGAAAGACGGUUUUGCUGUCACUUAUAGAUGGAUCCGCGCCGCAUUAGCUAGUUGGUAAGGUAACGGCUUACCAAGGCAACGAUGCGUAGCCGACCUGAGAGGGUGAUCGGCCGCCCUGGAGCUGAGACGCGGACCAGACUCCUACGGGACGCAGCAGUAGGGAAUCUUCCGCAAUGGGCGAAAGCUUGACGGAGCAACGCCGCGUGAGUGAUGAAGGUCUUCGGAUCGUAAAACUCUGUUAUUAGGGAAGAACAAAUGUGUAAGUAACUAUGCACGUCUUGACGGUACCUAAUCAGAAAGCCACGGCUAACUACGUG